rnacentral:rRNA from 1 species
GUACGGGAGGCAGCAGUGGGGAAUUUUCCGCAAUGGGCGAAAGCCUGACGGAGUGACGCCGCGUGUGGGACGAAGGCCUUCGGGUCGUAAACCACUGUCAGUGGGAAAGAAGGGUGUCGGUGCUAAUACCACCGGCAUUUGACGGUACCUGCAGAGGAAGCCCCGGCCAACUCUGUGCCAGCAGCCGCGGUAAGACAGAGGGGGCAAGCGUUGCUCGGAAUUACUGGGCGUAAAGGGCGCGUAGGCGGGAUGGCAAGUCGGUCGUGAAAUCCUUCGGCUCAACCGAAGAACGUCGAUCGAUACUGCUGUUCUUGAGGAUUGCAGAGGAGACUGGAAUUCCCGGUGUAGCGGUGAAAUGUGUAGAGAUCGGGAGGAACACCGGUGGCGAAGGCGGGUCUCUGGGCAAUUCCUGACGCUGAGGCGCGAAAGCGUGGGGAGCAAACGGGAUUAGAUACCCCGGUAGUCCU